CACGUAGGGCGCAAGCGUUGUCCGGAAUUAUUGGGCGUAAAGAGCUCGUAGGCGGUCUGUCGCGUCUGCUGUGAAAACUCAGGGCUUAACCCUGAGCUUGCAGUGGGUACGGGCAGACUAGAGUGCGGUAGGGGAGACUGGAAUUCCUGGUGUAGCGGUGAAAUGCGCAGAUAUCAGGAGGAACACCGGUGGCGAAGGCGGGUCUCUGGGCCGUAACUGACGCUGAGGAGCGAAAGCAUGGGGAGCGAACAGG
rnacentral:rRNA from 1 species